GGGGUUGUGGCUCAGUGGAAGAGCGCUUGCCUGGCACGUGUGAGGCCCUGGGUUCGAUUCUCAGCACCA
rnacentral:tRNA from 1 species